UUGCUCUAUCGCCUUCACCGGGAUCGAGAUGAGGUUUACCAGAUGGUAGUUCCUUGGAUCCUCCUUGCCCUUGUUGAAGACAGAGAUGAGAUUUUAUUUCUUCCAUUCCUCGGGAACCUCUUUCAAUUUCCAUAAUCCAGCAACGACAUCAGCCAGCUCCCUCAGCUCUCAUGGCUGCAGCCCAUGUAUUUGUAUAUGCCAAGUUUAAGUGUUCCCUAACCUCCUCAACUGAGGGAGAAACAUAAUCACCCUGUGUGGAAUAACAGCUCUUUCAGAGAGUUUCUCUACUAUUCCUAGCAUCGAAAUGGACAUUGGCUUUAAUGAAAGCAGAGUCUGACCCUCAUGGCUGUUGCUUCAUGUCCCAUUACAUGACCAGUUUGAAUUCCUUCCACCGGUUAGCUCUCUGUGAAGUUCCAAGAUUUAAACUGGCAAUUCUGAGAACGCUCAAGGACAGGCAAAGAAUCCUUCAUGUUGAGAUGAGGAAAGGGGUGUAUUUGAGAGAAAGGGCCAUCAAGAGAGGAUCAUCAAGGCACCACAUCUGGGGCUGGGAGACCUCUGCUCAAUUUUCACCUCCAGCAACUUUUCCUGACUUGGUGUGAGCGAUUUGUUUUUCCUUGGAUUGCUUCUGCACUUAGAAAAUGAGCCUACUCCUGAACAAAGGUGUUGAAAAACCACAUUAAUCUUUGUAGGGUGCUCAGACAUGGCACACUAAGCACCUGGAUAAAUGGCUGACAGCCACGGGUAGGCAACUUAUUAAUUGCUUUCUUUCAGCGCACGUUUUUGGGUUGCUUUGUGAUCUGUUACGUGUGAAGACACUAAGAUACGUGUUUUAACCAUUAAGUAUGUAACUGUAAAAUAUAGGUUUGUCUAUGACAGGGCCAUGAUACAACUGAACGACAAGGAGAAGCUUCACUUUUCUGCUCUACUGGCUAUCUUUAUACGCAGAAUGAGUGUUGGUUACAUGAAGAUUUGAACAAUAUUGUGCAGAGGCAUAAUAGGAAGGAAACUGAAGAAUUCUGG